rnacentral:rRNA from 1 species
CUGAUACAGAGUACUGUACUCUGGUUGAUCCUGCCAGUAGUCAUACGCUUGUCUCAAAGAUUAAGCCAUGCAUGUCUAAGUAUAAAGGAAAUACAAUGAAACUGCGAAUGGCUCAUUCAAACAGUUAUAGUUUAUUUGGAUUUACACAUUAGUUAAAUGGAUAACCGUAGUAAUUCUAGGGCUAAUACAUGCGUUACGGGGGACUUUACGGAACCCCAGUAUUUAUUAGAUUCAAACCAAUAUUCCGAAGGUCUACUUGAGAUGAUUCAUGAUAACUGAUCGAAUUGCUGGUCUACCGGCAAUAAGUCAUUCAUGUUUCUGCUUCCCAUCAGCUUGAUGGUAGUGUAUUGGACAACCAUGGCAUUCACGGGCUAUCGGGGGAUUAGGGUUCGAUUCCGGAGAGGGAGCCUGAGAAACGGCUACCACUUCUACGGAAGGCAGCAGGCGCGAAAAUUAUCCAAUCCUGAUUCAGGGAGGUAGUGAAACAAAUAAUGAACUAGGAUUUAUCCUGGGGUCACAAUGGGCUUGAUUUGCAAACUUUAUUUAGCGAGGAACAAUUGGAGGGCAAGUCUGGUGCCAGCAGCCGCGGUAAUUCCAGCUCCAAUAGUGUAUAUUAAUGUUCCUGCAGUUAUUCGAUGCUCGUAGUUGGAUUUCUGGAGGCUGAGAUCGGAGGGUAGCCAAGGUUACCGCUGAACUCUUCCUUCAUCCACCUGUUAACGUUGUCCGGGAUUCGUUUCUCGGCUUCGGGCUCAGGCAUAUACUUUUACCCUUUUUCUAUAUUUAUUGUUUUGAGUAAAUUAUAGUGUUUCAGGCAGGCGUGCGCCGGAAUACUUUAGCAUGGAAUAAUCGAAUUGGACCGUGUAUUCUUAUUGAAUUCUUCCUUAUUGUUGGUUCAAGGACACGGAAAUGGUUAAUAGGGAUAGUGUUUUUAUUAUCAGGGGAGGCAUUAGUAUUUAAUUUCCAGAGGUGAAAUUCUUUGAAAUAUUAAAGACUAACUUAUGCGAAAGCAUUUAUUAUUGCCAAUAAUGUUUUCAUUAAUCAUUGAACGAAAGUUAGGGGAUCAAAGACGAUCAGAUACCGUCCUAGUCUUAACCAUAAACGUUGCCGACUAGGGAUCGGAGGGCGUGCACAUUCCGCCUUCGGCACCUUACGAGAAAUCAAAGUCUUUUGGGUUCUGGGGGUAGUAUGGUCGCAAGGCUGAAACUUAAAGGAAUUGACGGAAGGGCACCACCAGGAGUGGAGCUUGCGGCUCAAUUUGACUCAACACGGGAAAUCUUACCAGGUCCAGACAUAGCGAGGAUUGACAGAUUGAUAGCUCUUUCUUGAUUCUAUGGGUAUUUUUAUAUAUAUUUUGGUGGUGCAUGGCCGUUCUUAGUUGGUGGAGUGAUUUGUCUGGUUAAUUCCGUUAAACGAACGAGACCUCAGCCUGCUAAAUAGUUACCUGUCUUUUCAUUUUUAUAAUUACGAGACUUGAUAACUUCUUAGAGGGACGUUGUGUGCAACCACAAGGAAGUUGAGGCAAUAACAGGUCUGUGAUGCCCUUAGAUGUCCUGGGCCGCACGCGUGCUACACUGAUACGUACAACAAGGGGGGUAUAUGCAUUCAUGCAUCGACGCUGCUCCGAGAUAGACACAGCUAAAUCUUCUAAAAUACGUAUCGUGCUGCGGAUAGAUCGUUGAAAUUAUGGAUCUUGAAGGUGGAAUUCCUAGUAAGCGCGGGUCAUCAGCCCGCGUUGAUUACGUCCCUGCCCUUUGUACACACCGCCCGUCGCUCCUACCAAUUUCGAGUGGCUCGGUGAACCUCUUUGGACUGUCGAGCAAUCGCGAAAUUAGAGUGAACCUGGUCACUUAGAGGAAGGAGAAGUCGUAACAAGGUUUCCGUAGGUGAACCUGCAGAAGGAUCAAAUCGGAUCCCGGGCCCGUCGACUGCAGAGGCCUGCAUGCAAGCUUCUACUAUGUGCUCUAUAGAGAGACCCGU